CAGCAGCCGCGGUAAUACGUAGGUGGCAAGCGUUGUCCGGAAUUAUUGGGCGUAAAGGGCUCGCAGGCGGUUUCUUAAGUCUGAUGUGAAAGCCCCCGGCUCAACCGGGGAGGGUCAUUGGAAACUGGGAAGCUUGAGUGCAGAAGAGGAGAGUGGAAUUCCACGUGUAGCGGUGAAAUGCGUAGAGAUGUGGAGGAACACCAGUGGCGAAGGCGACUCUCUGGUCUGUAACUGACGCUGAGGAGCGAAAGCGUGGGGAGCGAACAGGAUUAGAUACCCGUGUAGUCCCUGUCUCUUAUAC
rnacentral:rRNA from 1 species